rnacentral:rRNA from 1 species
AUUUUCAAGUAUAAUAAAAAAUACUAAAACAUUAAAAGCUAUGUCCUCUAAAUUUAAAGGAUUUGGCGGUAAUUUAAUCCAAUUAGAGGAACCUGUAAAAUAAACGAUAUACCCCGCAUAAUCUUACCUUUUUUUAUAGUUUGUAUACCGUCAUUAUUAGAUAACUCUUAUAAGAAUAGUUAUUACAAAAGACAAAAUAUAUCUCAUAUAUUAGAUCAAGGCGCAACCAAUAUGAAGGUUUAUAUGGGUUACAAUAAAAUUUAUUUAUACGGAAAUAACAUUUAAAUAUUUUAUUAAAGGAGGAUUUAAUAGUAAAACUAAUUUAACAAGUCUAUUUGACAAGGAAUCUAAAUUAAGUACAUAUCGCCCGUCACUUUCAUUACUAAAUGAAAUAAGUCGUAACAUAG